UACGUAGGGUGCGAGCGUUGUCCGGAAUUACUGGGCGUAAAGAGCUCGUAGGUGGUUUGUCGCGUUGUCCGUGAAAACUCACAGCUUAACUGUGGGCGUGCGGGCGAUACGGGCAGACUGGAGUACUGCAGGGGAGACUGGAAUUCCUGGUGUAGCGGUGGGAAUGCGCAGAUAUCAGGAGGAACACCGGUGGCGAAGGCGGGUCUCUGGGCCGAUACUGACGCUGAGGAGCGAAAGCGUGGGGAGCGAACAGG
rnacentral:rRNA from 1 species